rnacentral:pre_miRNA from 11 species
CCAGAUUUGGCCACUAGGAUUACCCUUACAAAAACACUGACUUUAGUUCUCAACUCAGUAAGUGCUUUCUGUUGGGGUAGUUUUUCUGA